UACAGAGACCUCAAGCGUUAUCCGGAAUCAUUGGGCGUAAAGCGUACCGAUAGGUGGUUUUACAAGUCAGAAGUGAAAUCUCUCAGCUUAACUGGGAGACUGUCUUUUGAAACUGUAAAACUAGAAGGGCAAAGAGGAAGCUGGAACAAACGGUGUAGUAGUGAAAUGCGUUGAUAUCGUUUGGAACACCAAUAGCGUAGGCAGGCUUCUGGGUGCCACUUGACACUGCUAGGACGAAAGCGUGGGUAGCGAAUGGG
rnacentral:rRNA from 1 species